rnacentral:rRNA from 1 species
GACGAACCGUGCAAACGUUAUUCGGAAUCACUGGGCGUAAAGGGCGCGUAGGCGGCGCGGGAAGUCAACGGUGAAAGCUUGGAGCUCAACUCCGAGUCGGCCGUCGAUACUCCCGUGCUCGAGCACUGUAGAGGCAGAUGGAAUUCCGGGUGUAGCGGUGGAAUGCGUAGAGAUCCGGAGGAACACCGAAGGCGAAGGCAGUCUCCUGGCAAGUUUCUGACGCUCAGGUGCGAAAGCUAGGGGAGCGAACAGG